CGUUUAAACACCGGAUCCCGUAGGUCGAUGAAGGUAAGCAACGUCGAACCUGGUCAGUACUCAGAUGGGUGACCGCUUGAGAGCACCAGGUGCUGUAAG